AUGAAACACUCCUACGGGAGGCAGCAGUGGGGAAUAUUGGACAAUGGGGGGAACCCUGAUCCAGCCAUGCCGCGUGUGUGAAGAAGGCCUUAUGGUUGUAAAGCACUUUAAGCGAGGAGGAGGCUACUGAGACUAAUACUCUUGGAUAGUGGACGUUACUCGCAGAAUAAGCACCGGCUAACUCUGUGCCAGCAGCCGCGGUAAUACAGAGGGUGCGAGCGUUAAUCGGAUUUACUGGGCGUAAAGCGUGCGUAGGCGGCUUUUUAAGUCGGAUGUGAAAUCCCCGAGCUUAACUUGGGAAUUGCAUUCGAUACUGGGAAGCUAGAGUAUGGGAGAGGAUGGUAGAAUUCCAGGUGUAGCGGUGAAAUGCGUAGAGAUCUGGAGGAAUACCGAUGGCGAAGGCAGCCACCUGGCCUAAUACUGACGCUGAGGUACGUAAGCAUGGGGAGCAAACAGGAUUAGAAACCCCAGUAGUCCGAAGUUC
rnacentral:rRNA from 1 species